CCUACGGGGGGCAGCAGUGAGGAAUAUUGGUCAAUGGACGAGAGUCUGAACCAGCCAAGUAGCGUGAAGGAUGACUGCCCUAUGGGUUGUAAACUUCUUUUAUAAAGGAAUAAAACGAGGCACGUGUGCCUUUUUGCAUGUACUUUAUGAAUAAGGAUCGGCUAACUCCGUGCCAGCAGCCGCGGUAAUACGGAGGAUCCGAGCGUUAUCCGGAUUUAUUGGGUUUAAAGGGAGCGUAGAUGGGUUGUUAAGUCAGUUGUGAAAGUUUGCGGCUCAACCGUAAAAUUGCAAGUGAUACUGGCAGUCGUGAGUACAGUUGAGGUAGGCGGAAUUCGUGGUGUAGCGGUGAAAUGCUUAGAUAUCACGAAGAACCCCGAUUGCGAAGGCAGCUUACUAAACUGUGACUGACAUUGAUGCUCGAAAGUGUGGGUAUCAAACAGGAUUAGAUACCCGAGUAGUC
rnacentral:rRNA from 1 species